CCUACGGGAGGCUGCAGUGGGGAAUAUUGGACAAUGGGGGCAACCCUGAUCCAGCCAUGCCGCGUGUGUGAAGAAGGCCCUCGGGUUGUAAAGCACUUUCAGUGAGGAAGAACGCCUGGUGGUUAAUACCCAUCAGGAAAGACAUCACUCACAGAAGAAGCACCGGCUAACUCCGUGCCAGCAGCCGCGGUAAUACGGAGGGUGCGAGCGUUAAUCGGAAUUACUGGGCGUAAAGCGCGCGUAGGUGGCUUGAUAAGCCGGUUGUGAAAGCCCCGGGCUCAACCUGGGAACGGCAUCCGGAACUGUCAAGCUAGAGUGCAGGAGAGGAAGGUAGAAUUCCCGGGGUAGCGGUGAAAUGCGUAGAGAUCGGGAGGAAUACCAGUGGCGAAGGCGGCCUUCUGGACUGACACUGACACUGAGGUGCGAAAGCGUGGGUAGCAAACAGGAUUAGAUACCCGUGUAGUC
rnacentral:rRNA from 1 species